rnacentral:rRNA from 1 species
AACGAACGCUGGCGGCAGGCUUAACACAUGCAAGUCGAACGGGCGUAGCAAUACGUCAGUGGCGGACGGGUGAGUAACACGUGGGAAUGUGCCUUUCGGUUCGGAACAACUCGGGGAAACCCGUGCUAAUUCCGGAUACGCCCUUACGGGGAAAGAUUUAUCGCCGAAAGAUCAGCCCGCGUCCGAUUAGCUAGUUGGUGAGGUAAAGGCUCACCAAGGCACCGAUCGGUAGCUGGUUUGAGAGAACGACCAGCCACACUGGGACUGAGACACGGCCCAGACUCCUACGGAGGCAGCAGUGGGGAAUCUUGGACAAUGGGCGCAAGCCUGAUCCAGCCAUGCCGCGUGAGUGAUGAAGGCCUUCGGUUG